UACCAAUGAACUCCCGGGAUAACAGGUGAUCGCUUCUGACCUUCUUGACGAGGAGAAUCGUCCUGAUCCAUUUCUACUCGAUCCAGAUUCAUCGUCAGAAGAACAACUGCAAGCUGAAGAUGAUGAAGACGAUGCUGAAAAUUCUUCCUCCAUUAUAAGUUUGGUCAUCCGGUCAAGUUUUUUCUCUUGCAAUCUCAUUUUCACCAAUCCAACUAAGUCCUCUGGAGGACCACCGUAGUCGAUGUAUGCCAUGAGAUCACCGGCUGAAAGAGUCGUGAUUGCUGCUGCAACGUCUUCAUCACAGUAUGCAAGAGUUGAAGCAGAGAUUUCCCCAAUUAGUUUGUUGUCAUUAUCCACAACUGCCAACGCGGUUUGUUCAAUAUUUGCUAGAGUAAUCGAAUCCAAAGCAGAUAUUGCAGGAUCGUGGUAACCUAUUGUCAUAAUGUUGUGAUCAAUGAUGUUGAGGGAUUCAAUCGAAAACGUGGGCAUAGGAGAGAAAACUCCAAUUGAAUUAAGAAGAAAACGUGCAACAUCUUCUUGUGUUAACCAACAAUAUUCAACUCCAUUAUGAUUUGUAGAUCUCGGAGAGGAUGAUUUUCUCCUUGAAUCUGUGCUUCCAUUGUUGUAAAUUGGUAUGACCGCGUUUUGAGUACCUUCAAUCAUGUAAUCUAUUGCUUCGAGCAAGCUGAUCAACAAACAGAACUAAUGCAAUUUCAGAAGACUAACCAAUAACAGCAAUAGAUCCAUUGAAAACUAAGAAAAACGAUUCAGGAAAAGGAAAAUUAGGCGAAAAUUUCUGCUGCAAAGUAAUUAGUUAGAUAACAAAAUUCAAGGGAAGAGCAAUACAAACCUUGAAUUGGGAUCCAAAUGCCUCACAAUUGAAUCUCCUUUAGGCAAAAUCUUCGAAAUCGGAACUUCAAAUGCUUUCGAAAAAUCAAUCAAAUGCUCUUGUUUAGAGAGAAAGCAAAUCAAAUCCACCAUAGAUAUCUUCCCAACGCAAUGGCAUCCAUCAUAAUCAGCUUUAGCUUUUUCU
rnacentral:lncRNA from 1 species